rnacentral:rRNA from 1 species
CAACUUUUAACAACGGAUCUCUUGGUUCUCGCAUCGAUGAAGAACGUAGCAAAGUGCGAUAACUAGUGUGAAUUGCAUAUUCAGUGAAUCAUCGAGUCUUUGAACGCAUCUUGCGCUCAAUGGUAUUCCAUUGAGCACGCCUGUUUCAGUAUCAAU